rnacentral:rRNA from 1 species
GAUGAACGCUAGCGGCAGGCCUAAUACAUGCAAGUCGAGGGGCAGCAGGAAUAGCAAUAUUUGCUGGCGACCGGCGCACGGGUGCGUAACACGUAUACAAUCUACCUUUAACUGGGGGAUAGCCCGGAGAAAUCCGGAUUAAUACCCCAUAACAGUAGGAGAGGCAUCUCUCUUAUUUGAAAGUUCCGACGGUUAGAGAUGAGUAUGCGCCUGAUUAGUUUGUUGGUGAGGUAACGGCUCACCAAGACUACGAUCAGUAGGGGAUCUGAGAGGAUUAACCCCCACACGGAUACUGAGACACGGAUCCGACUCCUACGGGAGGCAGCAGUAAGGAAUAUUGGUCAAUGGGGGCAACCCUGAACCAGCCAUGCCGCGUGCAGGAAGAAGGCCCUCCGGGUCGUAAACUGCUUUUAUCAGGGAAUAAUAAUAUGCUAUAGGCAUAGAUGUAGGUACCUGAAGAAUAAGCACCGGCUAACUACGUGCCAGCAGCCGACGG